rnacentral:rRNA from 1 species
AACGAACGCUGGCGGCAUGCCUAACACAUGCAAGUCGAACGAGACCUUCGGGUCUAGUGGCGCACGGGUGCGUAACGCGUGGGAACCUGCCCUUAGGUUCGGAAUAACUCCCCGAAAGGGGUGCUAAUACCGGAUAAUGUCUUCGGACCAAAGAUUUAUCGCCUUUGGAUGGGCCCGCGUUGGAUUAGCUAGUUGGGAAGGUAAAAGCCUACCAAGGCGACGAUCCAUAGCUGGUAUGAGAGGGUGAUCAGCCACACUGGGACUGAGACACGGCCCAGACGACGAGGGGAGGCAGCAGUAGGGAAUCUGACGGAAGGGGGGAAAGGAGGAAGGAGCAAAGCCGAGGGAGUGAUGAAGGUGUUUGGAGCGUAAAACGAUGUGAGGAGGGAAGAACAAAUGUGUAAGGAACGAUGCACGGAGGGAGGGGACAUAAGCAGAAAGCCAAGGCUAACUACGUG